rnacentral:pre_miRNA from 1 species
GUAGAUGCAUGCGUCGCGGGCUUCAUUGAAGGUUAGGCAGAUGUCUCCCACAACCUUCAGAGUUGAGGGCGUCGUAGUAUUCC